rnacentral:rRNA from 1 species
GAUGAACGCUGGCGGCGUGCCUAAUACAUGCAAGUCGAGCGAACGGACGAGAAGCCUGCUUCUCUGAUGUUAGCGGCGGACGGGUGAGUAACACGUGGCUAACCUACCUAUAAGACUGGGAUAACUUCGGGAAACCGGAGCUAAUACCGGAUGAUAUUUUGAACCGCAUGGUUCAAAAGUGAAAGACGGUCUUGCUGUCACUUAUAGAUGGAUCCGCGCUGCAUUAGCUAGUUGGUAAGGUAACGGCUUACCAAGGCAACGAUGCAUAGCCGACCUGAGAGGGUGAUCAGCCACACUGGAACUGAGACACGGUCCAGACUCCUACGGGAGGCAGCAGUAGGGAAUCUUCCGCAAUGGGCGAAAGCCUGACGGAGCAACGCCGCGUGAGUGAUGAAGGUCUUCGGAUCGUAAAACUCUGUUAUUAGGGAAGAACAGAUGUGUAAGUAACUGUGCACAUCUUGACGGUACCUAAUCAGAAAGCCACGGCUAACUACGUG